rnacentral:rRNA from 1 species
AUUGAACGCUGGCGGAAUGCUUUACACAUGCAAGUCGAACGGCAGCACGGGAGCUUGCUCCUGGUGGCGAGUGGCGAACGGGUGAGUAACAUAUCGGAACGUACCCAGUCGUGGGGGAUAACUCUCCGAAAGGAGAGCUAAUACCGCAUACGUCCUGAGGGGGAAAGCGGGGGACCUGCAAGGGCCUCGCGCGAUUGGAGCGGCCGAUAUCGGAUUAGCUAGUUGGUGGGGUAAAGGCUCACCAAGGCGACGAUCCGUAGCGGGUCUGAGAGGACGACCCGCCACACUGGAACUGAGACACGGUCCAGACUCCUACGGGAGGCAGCAGUGGGGAAUUUUGGACAAUGGGGGCAACCCUGAUCCAGCCAUUCCGCGUGAGUGAAGAAGGCCUUCGGGUUGUAAAGCUCUUUCAGCAGGAACGAAACGGUCGGCUUUAAUAAAGUCGGCUAAUGACGGUACCUGCAGAAGAAGCACCGGCUAACUACGUGCCAGCAGCCGCGGUAAUACGUAGGGUGCGAGCGUUAAUCGGAAUUACUGGGCGUAAAGCGUGCGCAGGCGGCGACAUAAGACAGAUGUGAAAUCCCCGGGCUCAACCUGGGAACUGCGUUUGUGACUGUGUUGCUAGAGUGUAGCAGAGGGGGGUGGAAUUCCACGUGUAGCAGUGAAAUGCGUAGAGAUGUGGAGGAACACCGAUGGCGAAGGCAGCCCCCUGGGUUAACACUGACGCUCAUGCACGAAAGCGUGGGGAGCAAACAGGAUUAGAUACCCUGGUAGUCCACGCCCUAAACGAUGCCAACUAGGUGUUUGGGG